CCCCGAGCUUAACUUGGGAACUGCAUUUUGAACUGGUAAGCUAGAGUAUGUCAGAGGGGGGUAGAAUUCCACGUGUAGCAGUGAAAUGCGUAGAGAUGUGGAGGAAUACCGAUGGCGAAGGCAGCCCCCUGGGAUAAUACUGACGUUCAUACUCGAAAGCGUGGGUAGCAAACAGGAUUAGAUACCCUGGUAGUCCACGCCCUAAACGAUGUCAAUUAGCUGUUGGGGCACUUGAUGCCUUAGUAGCGAAGCUAACGCGUGAAAUUGACCGCCUGGGGAGUACGGUCGCAAGAUUAAAACUCAAAGGAAUUGACGGGGACCCGCACAAGCGGUGGAUGAUGUGGAUUAAUUCGAUGCAACGCGAAGAACCUUACCUGGUCUUGACAUGUACGGAAUCUUCCAGAGACGGAAGAGUGUCUUCGGGAGCCGUAACACAGGUGCUGCAUGGCUGUCGUCGGCUCGUGUCGUGAGAUGUUGGGUUAAGUCCCGCAACGAGCGCAACCCUUGUCAUUAGUUGCCACCAUUCAGUUGGGCACUCUAAUGAGACUGCCGGUGACAAACCGGAGGAAGGUGGGGAUGACGUCAAGUCCUCAUGGCCCUUAUGACCAGGGCUUCACACGUCAUACAAUGGUCGGUACAGAGGGUAGCCAAGCCGCGAGGUGGAGCCAAUCUCAGAAAACCGAUCGUAGUCCGGAUUGCACUCUGCAA
rnacentral:rRNA from 1 species